UGCGUAGGCGGCUUGAUAAGUCAGGGGUGAAAGGCUACAGCUCAACUGUAGAAUUGCCUUUGAUACUGUCGAGCUUGAAUCAGGUUGAGGUUGGCGGAAUGUGGCAUGUAGCGGUGAAAUGCAUAGAUAUGCCAUAGAACACCAAUUGCGAAGGCAGCUGACUGGAACUGCAUUGACGCUGAGGCACGAAAGCGUGGGGAGCGAACAGGAUUAGAUACCCUGGUAGUCC
rnacentral:rRNA from 1 species